rnacentral:ncRNA from 1 species
AUUUGCAUAGGCAAUGAGGUCUGCCAUUAACUGCCGUAAAAAGCUGAUGACUUCUACCAGCAA